rnacentral:lncRNA from 1 species
CCCAGUGGUCCUGGGGGGGAGAUGCCUCCUGGCACGGCUGGGGGUUUUGGUGUCCUGGAGCACAGAAACAGAGCCGUGUGCUGCCCCAUGUGCUGCCCCACUGACUGACAGACCAUGGGGCACCAACAUCAAGGGGUGGAGAGAGCCCAGAGCCUGAGGCACCCGUUCUGGGGUGAGAAGAGAAAUGUGAGAGCUGGGCUGGGUGAGACGGGGAGGAUGCACUGCUGGCAGUGCUCUGGGCAGCUCUGGCAGGAGGAGCAUGGGGCAGUGGAGUCCAUCAGCGUUGUAUCAGCCACCCCCCAACAGGGCACGGGCUGUGCUAUUGCUCUGUGGGGCAGAGAUGGAGCAGCUCAAUGGGGAAGGGUAAUGAGGGAAUUGGUGCAGGGUCUGCACUGGAACGUGACCCAGGGACCAAAGGGGCACAAGGGCUGUCUCCAAAUGUGAGGCUGAUGCUGCCCCAAACCAUCCCAUGGGGAUGCUGCCCUCCCUGGGGAUGUGGCUGCAGUGCCAACACAACACAGAGGGGCUGUGCUGUGGGGACAGCCCUGUGCUGGCCUAGGGAAUGGGGCUGGGGGAGCCCAGUGGGGUCCUGUCCCUCUCUGCCCAUUCCCAGACCAGCCCUGCCUCUGUCCCCAGGCUCCGGGAGAGCUGGGGAGCCCUUCCCUGAGGCCGUGUAUGAGGAGAUCGCUUACAGCCUGGCGUGGGAGAAGCAGCCGAGGUUCAGUCUCUCAGAUGUCCCUGUCCUGCCCGGAGGUUACCCAGCAGAUGGCUAUGAUGAUGCUGGGGAGGUUUCUGACCCUGGGGAGGAUCCUGUCCCUGGGCAGGGGGACUGGGAAGUGCCCAGGACACCAGAGGAAGGAGAUGGGCUGAGGCAUGCAGUCACAGGUGAGAGGGCAAUGCAGCACUGCCACUUGCUAGAUGCCAACCCCAGGCCUAGGAGAAUCCAUGCCAUAUUGAAAGCCUGACCAUCCAUGGAGAACCUGUCCUGGGAUAUUUUGUGGGGGCUGGGAGAAUGGGCCAAAUGUCUCUAGGCUGGUGAGGACGAGGAAGGUGAUAAACAGCCCCAAGGGGCACCUCACAGGCCCAACCACAGCAGCCUGCUUUGAUGCUUACAGGGGGAAGCCUGCACUCCUGGAGAAGUGCUGGGGUCCCUGGAGCUGAUGGAGACACCUCAUCACCUUUCCUGGGGACCACGGGCUAUGACGAUGUUGAAGAGGUGUCUCUGUCAUGUCCCUAUGAAGACACACAGGAUGUCACACCAGAGCCCCGUGCACAAGAGUUCCAGAUCCCCAGGCCAUCAGAGCCCAGCCCUGCUGAGCAGCUGGGUGCAGCCGGGAGGGAGGAGAGCUCAGUGCCAUUGGGAGAGCCGUGAGUGCCAGGGAACGGUCUCCCUUUUCCAGCAGUCAGCAGACACACAUGGGUAUUUCCCCUCUUGGUAUUCCCGUUUUAACGCUGUGUGUUGGUAUUUCCUCAUAUUAAAACCCUCUGGGGGCUUUUCCCCAGGUCCAGUGCUUCCCUGCCCAGGUGUCAGGGUGUCUCCCUGAGGCGGAUGGAGGGGAG